rnacentral:rRNA from 1 species
ACUCCUACGGGAGGCAGCAGUGGGGAAUUUUGGACAAUGGGGGCAACCCUGACGCAGCAACGCCGCGUGAGUGAGGAAGGUUUUCGGAUUGUAAAGCUCUGUCGAGCGGAAAGAAGUGCAUGGUGGUUAAUAUCCAUCAUGCUUGACGGUACCGCUAAAGGAAGCACCGGCUAACUCCGUGCCAGCAGCCGCGGUAAUACGGGGGGUGCAAGCGUUGUUCGGAAUUAUUGGGCGUAAAGCGCGUGUAGGCGGCUGGACAAGUCAGAUGUGAAAGCCCUGGGCUUAACCCAGGAAGUGCACUUGAAACUGUUCGGCUAGAGUAAGGGAGAGGAAAGUGGAAUUCCUGGUGUAGAGGUGAAAUUCGUAGAUAUCAGGAGGAACACCGGUGGCGAAGGCGACUUUCUGGCCCUAUACUGACGCUGAGACGCGAAAGCGUGGGUAGCAAACAGGAUUAGAUACCCUGGUAGUCCGCGCUGUAAACGAUGUUCACUAGGUGUUGGGGGUAUUGACCCUUCCAGUGCCGCAGCUAACGCAUUAAGUGAACCGCCUGGGGAGUACGGACGCAAGAUUAAAACUCAAAGGAAUUGACGGGG